GCGACCCCAGGUCAGGCGGGAACACCCGCUGAGUUUAAGCAUAUCAAUAAGCGGAGGAAAAGAAACUUACCAGGAUUCCCCUAGUAACGGCGAGCGAACCGGGAAGAGCCCAGCUUGAGAAUCGGGCGCCCUCGGCGUCCGAAUUGUAGUCUGGAGAAGCGUCCUCAGCGGCGGACCGGGCCCAAGUGUCCCUGGAGGGGGCGCCGGACGAGGGUGAAGCAGCCCCGUCGUGCCCGGCACCCUGUCGCACCAUCGAGGCGCUGUUCUGCCGAGUCGAGGCGCUGUCUGCGAGUCGGGUUGUUUGGGAAUGCAGCCCCAAUCGGGCGGUAAAUUCCGUCCAAGGCUAAAUACGUGCGAGAGACCGAUAGCGAACAAGUACCGCGAGGGAAAGAUGAAAAGGACUUUGAAAAGAGAGUCAAAGAGUGCUUGAAAUUGUCGGGAGGGAAGCGGAUGGGGGCCGGCGAUGCGCCCCGGUCGGAUGUGGAACGGCGACAAGCCGGUCCGCCGAUCGGCUCGGGGCGCGGACCGACGCGGAUCGCGGCGGCGGCCCAAGCCCGGGCACUAGAAACGCCCGCGGAGACGCCGUCGCAGCGAUCGACGUGGACAUCAGCGCGCGCCGUCACGGCGUGCCCCGGCACCCGCGCGCUCCUGGCGUCGGCCAGCGGGCUCCCCAUUCGGCCCGUCUUGAAACACGGACCAAGGAGUCUGACAUGUGUGCGAGUCAACGGGCGAGUAAACCCGUAAGGCGCAAGGAAGCUGACUGGCGGGAUCCCCCUCCCCCGAGGGUUGCCACCGGCGACCGAACCUCGAUCUUCUGAGAAGGUUCGGCGUGAGAGCCAUGCCUGUCGGGAACCCGAAAGAAUGGUGAAACUAUGUUGAAGCGGGGCGAAACCAGAGGAACUCUGGUGGGGCCCGCAGCGAUACUGACGUGCAAAUCUUCGUCUGACUUGGGUAUUUUAGGGGCGAAAGACUAAUCGAACCGUCUUAGUAGCUCUCUCCCUUCCGAAGUUUCCUCAGGAUAGCUGGAGUCGGGACGAGUUCCUAUCCGGGACGAGUUCUAUCGGGUAAAGCCAAUGAUUAGAGGCAUCGGGGGCGCAACGCCCUCGACCUAUUCUCAAACUUUAAAUAGGUAGGACGGCGCGGCUGCUUCGCUGAGCGGCGCCACGGAAUCGAGAGCUCCAAGUGGGCCAUUUUUGGUAAGCAGAACUGGCGAUGCGGGAUGAACCGGAAGCCGGGUUACGGUGCCCAACUGCGCGCUAACCCAGAACCCACAAAGGGUGUUGGUCGAUUAAGACAGCAGGACGGUGGUCAUGGAAGUCGAAAUCCGCUAAGGAGUGUGUAACAACUCACCUGCCGAAUCAACUAGCCCCGAAAAUGGAUGGCGCUUAAGCGCGCGACCUAUACCCGGCCGUCGGGGCAAGAGCCAGGCCCCGAUGAGUAGGAGGGCGCGGCGGCCGCUGCAAAACCCGGGCGAAGUAGGAAUGCGGCGCGGGCGGGACCGCUGCAAAAACGCCGGGUCGCUCGGACGCCGGCGUCGAGAGGCCUCGCCGCUGCAGUAUCUUGCGGUCGGUAGUAGCAAUAUGAAAAAUGAGAACUUUGAAGGCCCGAAGAGGGAAAGGUUCCAAUGUUGAAACGGCACCUUGCACAUGCGGUAGUCGAUCCUAAGAGACGGGGAAGCCCGUCCCGACAGCGCGGCCGGGUAUGCCGAGCGCGCGCAGCGUUUUCGAAAAGGGAAUCGGCUGUUAAACAAUUCCCGAACCGCUGGCACGCGGCGGCUGACCACGGCAACGUUCUAGGGAGUCCGGACGACGUCCUGCAGGGGUGGCCUCGGGAAGCAGGUUAUCUUUUUCUGUUUAACAGCCCGCACUCACACCUGUGAAACGAUUCUCCACGUCUGGGUAAGGUCGAGGGUCAGCCCAAUGGGGGCCACAGCAUGCGGGUCCGCGAAGAGCCACCGCACGUCGCGCCGGUGUCCCGGUGACGGCCCGGCCGGCCCUGUUGAAAAUGCCCGUGGAGGACCGCAGUGCAUCCUUCCCGCGGCGCCGAUCCCGCUGCGCCGGUCGUAGUACUCAUAAGCCGCAUCUAGGUCUCCAAGGUGACAGGCCUCUGGCGCAAUCGGAACAAUGAUACGGCAAGUCAAGUCGCAAAACGGCUACUCCGUAACUCGGGAAAGGAUCUGGCUCUGAGCGGGCUAAGAGAGCCCGGGGUCCCAGUCGAUGCACGCCGAACCCGUCGGCCGAUGUCGCGUCGGGCUGUCGGCGGACUGCUCGAGCUGCUCCCGCGGCGAGAGCGGGUCGCCGCGUGCCGGCCGGGGGACGGACUGGGAACGGCCCCUCCGGGGGCCUUCCCCGGGCGUCGAACAGUCGACUCAGAACUGGUACGGACAAGGGGAAUCCGACUGUUUAAUUAAAACAAAGCAUUGCGAUGGUCCCUGCGGAUGCUCACGCAAUGUGAUUUCUGCCCAGUGCUCUGAAUGUCAAAGUGAAGAAAUUCAACCAAGCGCGGGUAAACGGCGGGAGUAACUAUGACUCUCUUAAGGUAGCCAAAAGGUAAGCAGAAAUGUCGUCGUCAUCUAAUUAGUGAGACGCGCCCAUGAAUGGAGUUAACGAGGAUUUCCCACUGUACGCCUGUUCUACUAAUCCAGCGCUAAUAACCUACAGCGAAGUGGAUACGGGCUGUGGCUGAUCAGCUGGGAAAGGAAGACUCCUGUUGAGCCUUGACUCUUAGUGACGACUCUUCUGUGAUGACUUGAGAGUGUAGGAAUACAGUGGGAGCGUGGCGAUCAACUCACAGAACUGGCGUAGCGGUGAAAUACCACUACUUUUAACGUAUUUUACUUCACUUCCGUGAAUCGGCAGCGGAGGCUCUCGCCCCUCUUUUGUGGACCAGCCGCCCACCGGCGGGCCGAUCUCGCGGCGAAAAGGAAACAUUGUCAGGUGGGGAUUGGCUGCCUUGGGGCGGCAGCAUCUGUUAAAAGAUAACGCUGGUGUCCCUAAGGAAUGUGCUGCACGGGAGAACAGAAUAUCUCGGUGGUGGAUACAAAAGAAGGUAAAAGCUGUUGAUUCUGAUUUUCCAGUACGAAUACGAACGCGUGAAAGCGUGGUACUCUAUGAUCCUUAUUAGACCUUCGGAACUUUUGAGAGCAGAGCGGCAUUCAGACUAAACGUUACCACAGGGUACUAACUGGCUUUGUUGGCAGCCAAGCAGUUCAUAGCGACGUUGCUUUAUUGAAUCCUCAUGAUGUCGGCUCGUUCCCUAUCAUUUGUGAAGCAGAGUUCACCAAGUUUGAGGAAUUGUUCACCCACCAAUAGCGGAACGUGAGCUUGGUUUAGGACCGGUCUGUGAGAGCCUCAGGUUAGUAUUUUACACCCACUGGAUGACCGCCUCGUCCGGCGCAUGCGUAAUUUCGAAC
rnacentral:rRNA from 1 species